GGAAGUAAAAGUCGUAACAAGGUUUCCGUAGGUGAACCUGCGGAAGGAUCAUUACUGAUUUAGCGAACCGAGCGUUAGCGAGGUUUUGCGAUCAACUUGUAUUUAAAACCCACUCUUCAAUGUAUAAAAUUUGUAUUAAUGAUAAAUUAAAAGAUCACUUUCAACAACGGAUCUCUUGGCUCUCGCAUCGAUGAAGAACGUAGCAAAGUGCGAUAAGUAAUGUGAAUUGCAGUAUUCCGUGAAUCAUCGAACCUUUGAACGCAUAUUGCACUUUCUGGUAUUCCGGAAAGUAUGCCUGUUUGAGGGUCAGUUAAAUAAAAAUCGGUGUUGUUGCCGCUUUCCGUGGUGACGCGUCGGAAUUGAGUCGUCUUCGGUUAAGUGACUUAAAAUUUUAUAUGAUUUUCGAACGUAUUUAAAUUUAUUUGAACGUUUGAUAUCGAAUGCUUAUUAGGUUCGGUCAUCCUCAUGACUCGCGCCUAUAAUUUUUCAUUAAAUGACCUCAAAUCAGGUAAGAAUACCCGCUGAACUUAAGCAUAUCAAUAAGCGGAGGA
rnacentral:rRNA from 1 species